GACGUAGGAUGCAAGCGUUAUCCGGAAUUAUUGGGCGUAAAGCGUUCGUAGGUGGUUUGUUAAGUUGGAUGUUAAAGCCUUAAGCUUAACUUAAGACAUGUAUCCAAAACUGGCAGACUUGAGACAGGUAGAGGUAGAUGGAGUUCUGUAUGUAGGGGUAAUAUCCGUAGAUAUACAGAGGAACACCAAAAGCGAAGGCAGUCUACUGGACCUGUUCUGACACUCAAGAACGAAAGCGUGGGGAGCAAACGGG
rnacentral:rRNA from 1 species